rnacentral:rRNA from 1 species
GACGAACGCUGGCGGCGUGCUUAACACAUGCAAGUCGAGCGGUAAGGCCCUUUCGGGGGUACACGAGCGGCGAACGGGUGAGUAACACGUGGGUGACCUGCCCUCAGCUCUGGGAUAAGCCUGGGAAACCGGGUCUAAUACCGGAUAUGACUCCAUGACGCAUGUUGUGGGGUGGAAAGCCUUGUGCGGCUGAGGAUGGGCCCGCGGCCUAUCAGCUUGUUGGUGGGGUUAUGGCCUACCAAGGCGACGACGGGUAGCCGGCCUGAGAGGGCGACCGGCCACACUGGGACUGAGACACGGCCCAGACUCCUACGGGAGGCAGCAGUGGGGAAUCUUGCGCAAUGGGCGAAAGCCUGACGCAGCGACGCCGCGUGA